GAGGGCUGUGCCCUGCCUUUUUAACCUCAGUGCUGGCGAGAGGGAAGUGGUGUGGGGAGGAUUACUCUGCUAGAUACACCUGCACUUAAGCUCCUCCUGGAAGUCAGGGAUACAGCCAGCUGGAUUAUUUUGUAUCUCCACAUGAUCCCUAAUACUGCUGUAUAUCCCAAAUGUUUGGGGAAGUGAACAGUCCCCAGGUGCCAGGAGGAGAGUACAGGAGACAUGUCUGCUGAGGCUAGGACUGGUCUAUAUUUCCCAAACAAAGGAAAAACAGCAUUUUAAAAAUUAGAAAAAGUUAGAGCAGGAGAGAAGACACGAACAAAAAAUAGCCAGGAAGUCAACAGAGGUGUGGAUUCCUACAUCGUCAUAUGGAAAAGUUCAGGUUUGGUUGCAGGAUGUUGUAUUUGUGUCAGGUCAACUUGGAGUAAGACAUGGUGCCUUAACUGGAGGUUCUGGAGGUGUGUGAUCAAG
rnacentral:lncRNA from 1 species